AUUAAAUUCUAUAAUCACCCAAUUAAAAUUCAAUUCAAUACCCCGAACAGUCAGUUGUAUGUUUAUGUUUUGCUGCGCAGAGACUAAGAAUGGUGGUGCGGAAAAAUGGAUAUUAAUCCCAAUCACAAUCAGGUAACCAUGGAGAGUUUGGAGCGUCAAAGAGCCAUGGCGAUGCCUCGAUGCGACACCCCGAGUGAUGCCCCGCCUCUACCGAUACAUAAAUGCAACGACUGCAAAAGAAACAUGGUGGAAUGCCUUCCAUGAGCAGAUGCUUGGAAAUGUACCCCCACUUCCGCCGCGUAAAAAACACCAUGUCUUUUUUGCCCACACCUCAUCGGAUACAAAAUGGGUAAACGACAUCGUAAAACGCCUAGAAAACCCUGUAAAUAGCAUCGUCUGUUGCUUUCCUGCUCGAGAUUUUAAACCAGGAGCGUCCAUGCAGGAGUCAGUCGACAGUGCCAUCAAAAGAUCUCUACGAGUUGUCCUCGUCAUAUCAAAAAACUUUCUCGCGAAUGAAUGGAAGAAAUAUUUUGAAAAGAGGUUCAAACAAUUCAAAACGAUUCCUAUCAUUAUAUCGGACUGUAAUCUGCCCAUUGUACUGGACGAUAUAGUGUGCAUUGAUGCCCGUAACUCGGGAACAGACUGGUUUAAAGUGUUGUUGCGAGCGAUAAAAGAAGAAGAUUUAAACGCUGAUGAUGACACAGUGACGAGUACAAGUCAGUUUAUACGAGAAGAGGUGAUCUUCACACCAGCAGCAGAACCCAUGGCAAGUCUUUCCACAACCUCUUUUAUUUGAAGUCAUCUCUUGUGCCAAAAUUGGACCUCAUGAAACUUUUAUAAACUUAUCUUUUUUUCAAUAAAUGAUAACCAAUCU
rnacentral:misc_RNA from 1 species